rnacentral:rRNA from 1 species
UACGAAGGGGGCUAGCGUUGUUCGGAUUUACUGGGCGUAAAGAGCGUGUAGGCGGCCAUGUAGGUCCGUUGUGAAAACUCGAGGCUCAACCUCGAGACGCCGAUGGAAACCAUGUGGCUAGAGUCCGGAAGAGGAGAGUGGAAUUCCUGGUGUAGCGGUGAAAUGCGCAGAUAUCAGGAAGAACACCCGUGGCUAAGGCGGCUCUCUAGUACGGUACUGACGCUGAGACGCGAAAGCGUGGGGAGCGAACAGG